UUAUCCACUCUGAGCAACGUGCUGCUCUUUACGAUCGAACCCGCACUAAAGGUACUCCUUCCAUUAUGAUACUACGACGAAAGUUUCCCCUUGAUCUAGCGUACGUUUCUCGAAUCGGUCGAACGGAUUGAGAAACAUGGAAAAUUCAUACGCUCGAGUAUUAUACGUAAAAGCUUUUAUUAUCGACGUCAAACGUUUAAGAAACAAGUAAGAACUUUAUUCGAAUCUACGUAGAGGCGAAAGAGGCUUUGAAUUUCCGGCACAUGGAGCGGCUUGACAACGUCGCAUGAUCUUUCGCAAUGUUGCCAGCGCCUCGAGUGACGUCACAAGACAUACGACUCCCGAACGAGAAUAAUCGGAGAUCGCAUCUACCCGCUUCGUUUGCACUUAUUGUUAGUGAAAUGCAGAAACUACGUCCUCCACGCUCUGUGCCUGUAUUCGCUUCGAUAAAACCGUAGCUUCCAGAAAAAUCUCCACGAAUAGCGUCGUAAUUCACGAACCGAUAAUUAUAGGGAUCUUCUAACGAUGAUUUUUUGAUGAAUUUCAAGAGUUUCGUGGGAAAUAAUAGACGAGGAAUAUUAUGUACAUGAUUACGUCUCACGGUGUCGACGAUUCGUGAUAUUUUCCCGCGCAAGGAAAGAGAAGGUUAGCUCGUCGCGUUUUUGCGCGUUACCAACAGCGUAACAAACCACACCGUUAAGGAAUCUUUAAAUUCCGUUACGUAAUGGUUCUGCAGCGAUAACCCUAUGACACGUACCAGGUGUGUCCGGAUAUUUAUUCUCGACUUAUAUCAUCAAAUAUUAAGUAUUUAAGAAAUUACGACCCUGCCUGUUAAAAUUCUCGUUUGCACUGCUCGGUUCUUGUAUCAUCGGUGAUAAUCUAUGAAUGAUACCAAGUGUUUUGCAAGAUUGUAAACAUAACAUUCAUUCACGUGACCAGCCGCUUAUUGAAAAAAUCUUCCGUUCGAAAUAGAUUAUCGAGGAUACAGAUACAGCAAACUCUAGUAAUGCGCGAUAUGUAAAACCAUUUUUAUUAGCAAGUAUACUUUUUGAACGUUUAUCUUUCUGUCCUAUACAUAUCUUACAAGUUCGUAUAUAUGAAUAGAAAUUUUAUCUCAUAAACUAACUUUACCUAUUUGACUUACAAAGAUAUUCGAACGCUUGCUAUAGAAAAUAUUCAUGGAUGUUUUACGUGCGUUUGCGAAACUUUUUGAAACUUCACUGGCACUGCAACCAGGCUAUCGUUAUUACAUUAUAUUAAAAUAUGAAAUCAAUCAGAAUUUAGAGAUUACGACACAUUCCUUGCAAAUAUAUUCUUAAUAAAAAUUUAAUACAUAGGAUAAAUAGUGUCAACAUAUAAAUAGCGCUAAAUAUAGUUCCACUAAAUAUCGUUUCGUAUUAACGUAUUGAUCGAUACUUGACUAUUCAAAUAUUUUGAUGAUCUUCGCGGAGUGUAUGUUUACGAUAAAUGCCUCGUAACAUUUAUAUACAUUAUAUUUCAUUUCAAUUUGUA
rnacentral:misc_RNA from 1 species